rnacentral:tRNA from 2 species
GUCCUUGUCGAUUAGUGGUUAGAUCAUCUCGUUGUGGUCACUUGCUCCGAGAAGACGGAAGUUCGAAUCCUCCCUGGGACA